CCUACGGGUGGCUGCAGUGGGGAAUAUUGGACAAUGGGGGGAACCCUGAUCCAGCGACGCCGCGUGAGUGAAGAAGUAUUUCGGUAUGUAAAGCUCUAUCAGCAGGGAAGAAAGGAAGGACGGUACCUGACUAAGAAGCCCCGGCUAACUACGUGCCAGCAGCCGCGGUAAUACGUAGGGGGCAAGCGUUAUCCGGAUUUACUGGGUGUAAAGGGAGCGUAGACGGUUACGCAAGUCUGGAGUGAAAGGCGGGGGCCUAACCCCCGGACUGCUUUGGAAACUGUAUAACUGGAGUGCAGGAGAGGGAAGUGGAAUUCCUAGUGUAGCGGUGAAAUGCGUAGAUAUUAGGAGGAACACCAGAGGCGAAGGCGGCUUACUGGACUGUAACUGACGUUGAGGCUCGAAAGCGUGGGGAGCAAACAGGAUUAGAUACCCGAGUAGUC
rnacentral:rRNA from 1 species